rnacentral:lncRNA from 1 species
UUUCGAUACUACAAGAUGUUUUUAUUUUUUUAAAUGUAUUUCAAUCUCUACAUCUUCAAAGAGGGCCUUCGUUCAGGAUUCAGUAUGGGGUCAUGCACAUAACCUUUCAGACUUUGUUGUCAUAUCCCUUUGUAAAUAUCUUAGAAACCAGUGAAGGUAUAAGGGGAAAACGACCCAAAAUUAACUUGUUCUUUAAAAAAAAUUAAACAUUCAUUUUAUGUUUUGUCUGCAAUGAAUGUAUGUGUGCCACUAGUGUGCGUGGUGACUGUGAUGACCACAGAAGUCUGAAGAGGGUCUCGAAUGCCCUGGAACAGGAUAUAGAUGGUCGUGAGCCAUCAUGUGGGUGUUGGGAAUUGAAUCCGGGUCCUCUGCUGCUCUUAACUGCUGAGCCAUCUCUCUGAGCUUCUAGUUCUUAAUGCAAUACCAAACUUAAUCUGAGUGUCCCUUUCUCUUGUUCCCUUUUGGCUCCCAUUUCUUUUGACACUGGCGAAGGGGUUUGGGGGGUUUCUUAAAGUCGCUCAGGCUGCCCUCGAACUCAGAGCAACCCUCCUGCCUGCGUUUAGGAAGUACUGCCGUAAACCAUCAUGCCGGGCUUCGUUCCUCACGGGUAGUGGCUCUCGCUGUCUUUCUCCGAUGAAAAUGUUUAAUAGACAAUUUCCGAUGAGGAAUGAAUGGGUAGACGCACGUUAUGAGACCUCAUGCGUAAAAACGAGAUGUCAUGGUUUCUCAAUCGCGCCAUUUCUAGUCCUGUCAAGGUGUCUCUCAGAACCGCACGACAGCGAUAAACAGGGAUUCAGGUUAAGACGCGCCCUGGGCUGUUCCAUUCUCACGAAGCCAGGUGGGGAGCGAGCCGCGUGCCGGGAUCCGCUGACCCGCGGCUGUCUCCACCUUCAAAGUACCCGAAUGACGGCAAAGUCCACCGCUUCCCCUCGGGGCAGCGGGAGACAAGGGGGGCGACGCGCUGCGGCAGGGGACUGGGCGGGCCACCCACCUCAGCGCUGGCCGAGCCUCCUCGGAGCUCGAAGCCCAACAGGGCGGGAGAGGCCGCGUAACCGCGACCCGCCCGCAGCCUCCGCCAUCUUCCACUCACCCGACUCCCCCCGCGGC